rnacentral:lncRNA from 1 species
GAAAAAAAUAUAUAUUUAUAAACCUGUAGCUUCUAGCUGUCAUUAAAGAUUAAUGAUACAAAUUGUGAAUGUGUGGUGAAUAUAAAUCUUUUAACUGAUAAACCAUGAGUUCUUUUUUGUUGAGGUUCUGAAACAAUUGUGUUCCGAUUCAUCCCUAGUGCGUGUAUGAAGACAUGUUGUGAUGUACCUGCACAUCUGAAGACAAAUAUCUAAUAUUUGGGCCAGAUUUUCCAGCCAGCUUGUCUUCAGGCAGUCCCUUAAGAGUGUUCUCUAUGGAAGGUGCAGUAUGCUGAAUUAUGUUGGUGAUCUGGUCUUGUGAAGUGUAACUGUCUGUCAAGAAGUUAGGAUGAGAUUAUUGGUGCUUUGUGGAAUCUACCAACAAUUUUUGGGCUGACUGAUGAGUUGACUUGGGCCAGGGGAUGCACUGAAUGCCAUGAAUCUGUCAAAUGGGGGAGCCCCUGUGACUGUCAGAGGUGGCAAGAGCGAGGAGGAUCAGCUACAGAGAGAAGGGAGAGGCCAAAGAGGAGGGAGAGAGCCUGGCCCUUUGCAAGACUGUUAAGACUCCCUGUUAGAAUUAUUACUUUAGGUCACAGUGAAGCAGGGACAUGUGUUAAAGGACCGUGUUGUCCUUCAGUUACUCUUUAAACCUAUGGAUGAUAUGGGAAGUAGACAAAAAUUUCAUACGGGUUUUGAGCAGCUGGAUUGUCGUCUUUGUUUUCUAACACAUUUACCAAGCCAACCUGAUGUAAGAAAUGCCCCUUAGUCUAAUGGGAAGCUGCAAAAAUGUUUAAGUUGUAAAUGAGGAUGAUACAUUGCAGCAAAAAGCGUUGUGCAAAGCUGACAGCAUACCAGUUUUAUCACUGGCUUUGCCUUACCAGUUGUGGCACAAGUGAGGGGUUGUCAGAAGAGAUGGGAGUUGCCAAGAAUACUUAAUUCUCACUCAUUUUCUUCUGAUCGAGACCCAUGCAGUGAAGAAGGGAGAGGGGUGAUGCCUGAAAAACAAGUACUCUUGAGUCCUAAGAAGUGUGGACUCAUCCUCCUAUCCUGUGGAUUGAUUUUUGUGGUUAGAGAAAGAUACAAGUGCUGUACCUCCAUUAAAAUACAUCUCCAAGCAAAAUGCAUUCAACAGCAUAAAUAAUUAAACACCAUAAACAAAUGACAAAUAAAACAGCCUAAUAGCAGAGGAUGUAGGACA